rnacentral:rRNA from 1 species
CAGCAGCCGCGGGAAAACAGAGGGUGCGAGCGUUAAUCGGAUUUACUGGGCGUAAAGCUUGCGUAGGCGGCUUCUUAAGUCGGAUGUGAAAUCCCUGAGCUUAACUUAGGAAUUGCAUUCGAUACUGGGAAGCUAGAGUAUGGGAGAGGAUGGUAGAAUUCCAGGUGUAGCGGUGAAAUGCGUAGAGAUCUGGAGGAAUACCGAUGGCGAAGGCAGCCAUCUGGCCUAAUACUGACGCUGAGGUACGAAAGCAUGGGGAGCAAACAGGAUUAGAUACCCCUGUAGUCCAUGUCUCUUAUAU